rnacentral:rRNA from 1 species
AGCUCCGAGAAUGAAUGUACUAGUUGUUGCAGUUAAAAAGCUCGUAGUUGAAUAUAGUGUAGGUCCUAUGUGCACUCGGUGCAGGUGGGGCUGUUUGUUGGGGGCGGCGGCGCGUUGGAGUGGGAUCCUUGAUUGGACUUUUCUCACCCCGCGCCACCGAGUCGCCCCCUCGUUUACUGUGAAAAAAUUAGGGUGUUCAAGGCAAGCCAUCGGGCAAUGAAUACGUCAGCAUGGAAUAAUAAGAUACGACUCACGUCGCUCCGUCUGUUUGGUUUCAGCGUUCUCAAGCGCGCGAGUAAUGAUCAACAGGAACAGUUGGAGUUAUUGGUAUUUGAAUGCUAGAGGUGAAAUUCUUGGAUUAUUCGACGACCAACUACUGCGAAAGCAUUUAACUAGGAUG